GUACAACAGCACAGGGCACUUCCAGACGCACUGCAGAGGUGUGAGGAGGUUAUGUCCAAAAUGUUAAAUUCCAACAUUUUGUGAGGUUACCGGUGCAGCUGGGCUUGUGUCUAAACAUUGCAAGGUUUCAAAAAUCACGAGAUUGUACUGCCACUGACAGCGGUGUUUGUUUGCUUUGUCGUUUCAAAAAGUAGCUUGAUGAGUGUCCAAAGUAACAUUGGAAGUUUGGAGGGGACGCCAUCUUGGUCCUAGCUCUCCACGUCCCCGACAACACCGGGGUUGCUUUCUCAGCAACAUAUCACGGCAGUGGUGAAGGCCAAGGCAGGCACCAUGGAGGAGCUGCACAGCCUGGACCCCCGGAGACAAGAGCUGCUGGAGGCUCGAUUCAUGGGUGGGGUCAGUGGCAGCACUGGGGGCAGCACUGGCAGCACCAGCGGGGGAACCAAAGCCUUGACAAACAAUGAAUGUUCAAAUCAAAGUUUUGGAAGCCUGGGGUCCUCCAGUGACAAGGAGUCAGAGAGCUCAGAUGUGAAAAGGGGGAGCUCUCCUGCAUACUCGACUCCUGAAAAGAAACACUCUGAAUCGUCCAGAGGAAGAAAGAGGAAACCCGACACCCAGUCGGAGAACAGCCAAGGGAAGUCUAUUGUGCGAGGACCCAAAAUUAGUGAUUAUUUUGAUGCCAGCUCUGAAAUGAACAAAACCGGACAUAAAGGAGGCUCUCUGUGCCAAUGUUGUUGCCAAGUGGCGGGCAAUGAUGUCACUCACACUGGUGGUCUCUCUCUCUCCAGUUCCAUGGAGGGAACGGGUCCAGUCCUGUGAGAGGUCUCCCCUCUGUGAUCCGCUCACCUCAGAACUCACAUUCCCACUCUGUGCAGGGUUCCAGUAUUGGGCAAAACAGCUCAUCGCCUACGAGUCUGUCUUUUGGGGAACAAGUGAUGCAUCCAAAGCAGUUGGCAAUCAAAUGUGUGCAGACUGACCUGACAGGGCUCAAGUUGGCUGCCCUGGAGAUGAACAAGAACCUGGACCUUGAGAAAAAAGAAGGCAGAAUUGAUGAUUUGCUUAGAGCGAACUGCGAUCUCAGGAGACAGAUAGACGAACAACAGAAAUUACUUGAAAAGUACAAAGAACGCUUAAAUAAAUGCAUCACCAUGAGCAAGAAGUUGCUCAUAGAAAAGAGCACCCAGGAGAAGCAGGCGUGCCGGGAAAAGAGUAUGCAGGACAGACUACGGUUAGGUCAUUUUACCACUGUGCGACAUGGAGCCUCUUUCACAGAGCAGUGGACCGAUGGCUUUGCCUUCCAAAACCUAGUCAAACAGCAAGAGUGGAUAAACCAACAGAGGGAGGAUAUCGAGAAGCAGAGAAAACUCCUAGCCAAAAGGAAACCCCCAUCGUCCAGCAACUCCCAAGCACCAACCACAAACUCUGAGCCAAAGCAACGCAAAACCAAGGCAGUGAACGGGGCGGAGAAUGAUCCCUUUCUGAAGCCCAGCCUACCUCAGCUGUUGACUCUAGCUGAGUAUCACGAGCAGGAAGAGAUCUACAAACUACGACUCGGUCAUCUCAAAAAGGAAGAAGCAGAAAUCCAGGUGGAGCUGGAGCGUCUGGAGAGAGUGCGGAACCUUCACAUUCGGGAACUUAAGAGAAUAAAUAACGAGGACAGUUCACAAUUCAAAGACCAUCCGACUUUGAACGAGAGAUAUCUGCUGUUACAUCUUCUUGGAAGAGGAGGCUUUAGUGAAGUUUACAAGAACCUUUCUGUUAUAGGCGUUUGACUUGAUUGAGCAACGCUAUGCUGCUGUGAAAAUUCAUCAGCUGAACAAGAACUGGCGGGAGGAGAAAAAGGAGAAUUAUCACAAACACGCCUGUCGGGAGUACAGAAUACACAAGCAGCUGGACCACCCCAGAAUCGUCAGGCUGUAUGACUACUUCUCACUGGACACAGACACGUAGGUUAACCUUAUUGUACUGACUAAUAUAUAUCUCAUCACUGCCCUUUACACAUUACUCAUUUUAUGAUGACCCCAAAGGUUUUGCACAGUUUUGGAAUACUGUGAAGGCAAUGACCUGGACUUCUACUUGAAGCAGCACAAGCUGAUGUCGGAGAAGGAGGCCCGCUCCAUCGUCAUGCAGAUUGUGAAUGCGCUCCGAUACCUGAACGAAAUCAAGCCCCCCAUCAUUCACUAUGACCUCAAGCCGGGUAACAUCCUGCUUGUUGAUGGCACAGCGUGUGGGGAAAUCAAAAUCACAGACUUCGGUUUGUCCAAAAUCAUGGACGACGACAGCUACGGUGCAGAUGGCAUGGACCUGACAUCACAAGGAGCAGGGACCUACUGGUACUUGCCUCCGGAGUGUUUUGUUGUUGGCAAAGAACCUCCAAAGAUUUCCAACAAGGUGGACGUGUGGUCUGUGGGUGUAAUCUUUUUCCAGUGUUUGUAUGGAAGAAAAGUACGUUUUUAAAGAGAACUGGCUUUAUUGAUUUACCAAAAUGAGUGUCUCGUAAAUAAGUUGACGCUGAGCCUUAUUUCUCUUUCAGCCGUUCGGCCACAAUCAGUCUCAGCAGGAUAUCCUGCAGGAGAACACAAUACUUAAUGCAACCGAAGUUCAGUUUCCUGUCAAGCCUGUUGCCAGUAAUGAAGCAAAGGCCUUUAUAAGGCGCUGCCUGGCAUACAGGAAGGAGGACCGGUUUGAUGUUCACCAGCUGGGAAGGGAUUCCUACCUGCUUCCUCACAUGAGGAGGUCCAACUCUUCAGGGAACUUGCAGAUGGGUGCCGGUGGCUCAGGACCUGCCGCCUCCAGCAUCAUUUUGUACUGAGGGCUGGUCCUGGACUGACUGAAUUACUGCCUGGCUACCCCACGCCUGCAGACCCCCCCCCCCCCCCCCCGUGUGUGGGGUAGCGGAGCUACAUGCCAACUAGUGGUGUACGGGAGGACAAGAGGGGGUCCAUUGGCCAUAGACACUGCAAACUGAAUGAUGUGGAGUUUGGCCUUCGCCUGGACUGUGCUGAGUUUCAAAUGGGUGUUUUCUAAAGACUAAUGAAAGGAUGUUUUAAAGAACAUAAGUGAAUGACCUUGUAAAAGGUUGAAUAGAGCACUGCUACAGACAAAGUAACUUGAAGAAAUGUGACUGGACACUUGAGUUUGUUUUGCUGGUGGAAGCCUUAUAGGACCUUAGGGAUAACUGGCAGCCUGCCGUUUUUAGAAUCGUUAACAUCCUCUUGCAAGGGUGCAAAUGCUUUAGCUGCGAAGAGUUUCCCUUUUCACCAUCAAUUUGGCUGUUUUUUGUUUUCAGCAAAAGUUUUAGGUUUUAAUUUGAGUUGUACAAUUAGCUAUGAGAAUGUAAUUUUAGCAUACAAGUGGUAUUGUCAUUUAGGCCCAGGCAGCAUACUAAUGUUGAAUGCACAAAAUAACCAAAUGUAGACAAAUGGCAAUGUACAGAAUAAUAUGCAGGAUGAUUUUAAAUAAUUCCUUCAAGAGUAAAUGUAUAUUUGCUGUACAGAAGAUUUUCAGAUUUGGAAUUGCAACUGUACCAUGGUUUAACUAUUUCCCUUGUACAUUUGUCAUUCAUUUUGCUGCUUUUGAUGUUACUUUUUAAAGGGCUGUAUGAUCCACUUUGGGUACAAUUGUACAGUUCUAUAAAAAGAAUAAAUGAUGACUAUGAUAAUAAAUACCAGGAAAUCACACA